UCUCUUGGGUAGCGAUUUUGGAGGGGAAUCCCAGAGCGAUUUGGUUUGAAGGGGACCUUCAAAGGCCAGCCUGCCUUCCGUGGGCAGGGACACCUUCCACUGUCCCCGGUUGCUCCGAGUCCCGUCCAGCCUGGCCUGGAACACUUGCAGGGAUGGGGCAGGCUCAGUUUCCCUGUGCAGUGUGCUCUAAUAUCUCUCCACUGGCAUCCUGAAAAAUGUUGUCAGUGUGUUUUGUUGGACGACGCUAGGCAGGACCUGGGUGAAAAGGACAUUCUCUGAGGUGCUGGGAGAAGGAGGACUCGUGCGGGCACCUCCAGAGACAGCGGGAACGGGAGCGUGCUGCGGAGAAGGAAAAUUCCAGGGGAAUUGCCACGAGAGGAAAUACCUCAGAGGGGCUUCCCUCCAGAUAAGCCCUGAAUAUGCCAGGAGGUUUCAGCCGGGAGAAAGGAGCUGUGGAAGAAAAGCAGCCUAAAAGUAGCCAGCGGGGAUCAUCAGGUUUUCCAGGCAAGAAGAACAAGGAGAGAGAUGAGGGAAUGGGGUUCCAAUUCCUAAUGAUUUGGUGGGUGCAGGAAUGAUUUGUGUGUGUUUUCCAGUCCCUUUUGAUUCCUGAGAUGAUUUUAAAAUGAUGGCUUUAGCAAUCAACUAAAUCGGAGAUGUUGUUUUUGAGAGGAAAUGGUGCCAAAUAAAUGCAGAGUUUUGGGUCA